rnacentral:lncRNA from 1 species
UUUUGAGGACGUCACAAGCCAUUUCACUUUGUUUGGUGAAUUAGCAAAAGGCAACCAUAGCAAGCAAAUUCGUCAUAUAAUUUGGCUGGCGACGACAUGGAGUAUUUGGCGUACGCGUAAUAACAUUAUUUUUAGAGGAGACUGUGUCAACAUAUCAUAUUUAGUGGAGCAAAUUGUUUAUUUUUCUUGGUUUUGGUUUAUAGGCCGAACAGGGAACAAUGUUAAUUUAGGUUUUUCUGAAUGGCGUAAUAAUCCUUUAGAUUGUUUUCAACGCAUCUAAAGUGAUCUAUUCUGAAUUGUAAGGGUUGAGUACCCAUUGUACUCCUUAUAAUUCAUUUUUUUGCUUAUAAAAAAAAA